rnacentral:rRNA from 1 species
UGGGGAAUUUUGGACAAUGGGCGCAAGCCUGAUCCAGCCAUGCCGCGUGCGGGAAGAAGGCCUUCGGGCUGUAAACCGCUUUUGUCAGGGAAGAAAUCUUCUGAGUUAAUACCUCGGGAGGAUGACGGUACCUGAAGAAUAAGCACCGGCUAACUACGUGCCAGCAGCCGCGGUAAUACGUAGGGUGCAAGCGUUAAUCGGAAUUACUGGGCGUAAAGCGUGCGCAGGCGGUUUUGUAAGACAGAGGUGAAAUCCCCGGGCUCAACCUGGGAACUGCCUUUGUGACUGCAAGGCUUGAGUGCGGCAGAGGGGGAUGGAAUUCCGCGUGUAGCAGUGAAAUGCGUAGAUAUGCGGAGGAACACCGAUGGCGAAGGCAAUCCCCUGGGCCUGCACUGACGCUCAUGCACGAAAGCGUGGGGAGCAAACAGGAUUAGAUACCCUGGUAGUCCACGCCCUAAAACGAUGUCAACUGGUUGUUGGGAAGGUUCCUUCUCAGUAACGUAGCUAACGCGUGAAGUUGACCGCCUGGGGAGUACGGCCGCAAGGUUG